GUACCCUCCAGCCCUGCUGGGUGUUGGGCGUUUGUUCCGCUGUACGCGUGAACUCGCCUCAAAUGCAUUGGCAGCCCGCCGUCCCGUGUGGGAGCGCAGCACAUUUUGCGUUCUCCACUGCUGAUGGUGGCAUCCAUAAGUCUACAUUUUUAC
rnacentral:misc_RNA from 1 species